rnacentral:lncRNA from 1 species
AAUCUAGGGAAGGAACGACAGGUCCUAGAGGAACAUGAAGGUACAGGGGACUAUGAGGUAUUUUGACAUACUCGCCCUAGAAGUCAGUAUAGUGAGUCCAACAAAAAACUACACGCCCAUGCUCAAACUUUUCUACUUCCAAGAGGCGAUGGAGACUUAUGAAAAAAAAUUUCUAGUGGUACAUAACUUCACUCAUGACCCUUUUGUCCUACAGCUCCUUGAGGAAGUAAACAAGUUGAAGGUCGAACGUCAAGCCGAGAUACCUGACUAGAACCAACCCAAGCCUGGCCCUUUCACAAGAAG